CUUUUCAGCAAUAGAGGCCUUGGAGGCCUUUCUACCUGCGUUGCAUCCUGUGGCUGGACCACUCCAACGAUCUCGGCAGAAUCGUUACACAGGAAGAAGUCUGGCUGGCCCCAAGCCUGGUGCAAAAUGAAGAAAUGGCACUCCACAUCAAUUCAUGUUUACUUGUCGUCAUAGCCAGUCUGUUAGCUUAAUUUUUGGUUCUUCCUAUUGAAUUCUCAAGAAAGGUACCAACUCUGUCAUUCAUUGAAAACAAAUUUUUGCACUUGGGGAUGCAGCCAUGCACAAAGCCUUUGAGCUCAUUAAUAUCUUUAUUUUUUAAAGAAAGUGCAGCUCCUGCGUGGAGCAAUAGGUUGAAUAAGACGAGGGUAAAUGAAAAGA
rnacentral:lncRNA from 1 species